CAGAUGAGGAAACGGAAACUCAGAGGUGCGAGUUGACUUGCCUCAGGCCCCAGUUGGCAGAGACAAGACUGGAAGGGAAGUCUGACGCUAUCCCAUCCAGGACGCCAAGGACUUGGGGCUAUCUAUAGUCAUAGGCACACUAUGUUGCUGGUGCUUUUUAAAUGGGAAAUGUAGGGAGAGGUAUGCCUUCUGAAUGUUCAAUAACAAGUGAGUUAAGUUGGGUGACUAAGCCUAUUGCAGAGUCUGAACAUGAGAUGAAAUCUGCAUGUGGGUAACAGUGGGACUGAAGAGGAAGCAACUGGCACUUUCAAGUGUUGAGUCAAGAUGUCCUAUGAGCAAGAUUUGGAGCACAGUGAAAGAGACAUCUUCCAAAGGAACAGAGUAGAGAUUGUUCCUGAAGGGUUUGAACAGCAUAAGCCUGAGGCAGAAAACAUAUGCUAUUGAAAAAUGGAUGUCUUUCUUUUGGAACUAAUGCUAGUGUUGGAUUUAUUCCCUCUUAUAAUUUACCUACCACCUGAAGGGAAAUUACCUUUUAUGAUGGUCGGAGGGGCACCUAGCUGUCUCAGCCUGUAGAGCAUGUGACUCUAAAUCUCAGGGUCGUGAGUUCAAGCCUCACAUUGGGCAUGGAGCCUACUUAAAAAAAAAAAAAAAAAAAAAAAAGAAAGAAAGAAAUCCUAUGGUGGUUGGAGUCUUUCUGUUGAUCCAGUGGUGGAAUCAUAUAGCCAGUCAGACAGAGGGAACAAAGCUUACAGUGCACUGCUGGAUUUCAUUGCGCCCAGCUUUGAAUCACUGAAGCACGUAACUCUAAAAAUAACUUAAUACGUUUGAUGCAUUUGUUUAUUGCUCUUUAUCUUCUGGAAUGCUAAAUAAAUCAUAGGGACUCAUUUUCAGUGUUGAAUGUAACUUAAGUUUUUUACCUUGUGGUCUUGGCCUGGCUGUUUAAAUUGGACCAAUUUCAUUAUUGACUUUCUUCCCUUCACUAUACAUUGUUCCAUUAAUUUCCCUACAGUCGUUUUUCUUGAUGUCCUGCCUUUCUAAGCUUUGUUGGGGUGGGGAAGAGUAAAUGAGUUGCUGAAAUAUCAAAUGCAGACUGCUUCUGAGCGGUUUGGGUUUGUGGUUUAACCAGUCUGUUAGCAACUUGAUUCUUUCAUUACUAGAUCAAUAUUUUCUUCAUUUUUUUUUCCCUCCUAAGAUGUAGGUAUUGGAAUUGUGCUUUGGAUCUAGAUUAUAUCCAAUGUCUAUAUGAAGUUGUACUAAGGAACCAUGUAUACAUUUCUAUAUGCAUUCACUUCAUAAAUAUUUUGAACAAUGAA